UAAAUUCUAAUUUGUAAAAAAAUGUUCUUAAGAAAUUUAUUUCGUUCACACAGGUUAUGAAUCGUGGAAAGCGCCAACGCAAAUCUAUCUCACAGGGAGAUGGAGAAUGUAGCUUAUUUUUUUGUCUUUGUCAAUUUUUUUUGAAUAUAGUGUGUCAUUAGUGAGUUUGAUUCGUGUAGUUAGUGACAUUCUUGAAUCCCUGCAGAAGUUCCGUGCGAAGCUUUCGGAUAUCGUGCUCGCAAGAAAGACCAUCAUCAUCUCAUUUUCAUAUUCCACUUAAUGGCGAUGCUGAAUUUAUGGAGUCUGAUAGUGACGCAAAUGAGGCUUCAUCGACGCCACCUAAUAAAAUAUUAUUUAUUUAUUAAUAAUGUUGAUAUUUUUCACAAAAAUAUAACAUUAUAACGGUAUGGGAGGACUUGCCAUGGUUCAGUUGUUGGAAUGGUUUGAUAUAUCUUACGUCAUUUCAAUAUCUUUUCAUAAAUAUAUAAUGAGUUAAUUUUGUUCAGCCUUCUACCUAAUUUCAAAUUUUUAUGGCAGUGAAAACUAUACGAUGAACUUUACAGAUUAGAGGAUUAAGAUCAAAGAUUGGCAGCAAUAAAUGGCCUGCUCUAUUGUAUCGAAAUGUUCUACCUGGUAAAGUUAUUGGAUUGCUAGUGACAAUAUGCUUAUAUCCAGGUAUUCGUUCUUGCUUAAUUUAUUCACGGUAAAAAUAACAUAUAGUAUUUCGUUGGUGUUUUUAUCCAGAGUACAAGCUGUAGCUUUUACAAUAUAAUGCAAGCGCAAGUUCUUACAUUGCAGCUCACUGUUGUCUCUUAUUUUGUAGGUUGUAGUUUAGCAUCGUAAUUGUGGGUUGCAACAUUCUUCGCCGAAUAUCAGAAAAAUUCUCAAAAAAACUUUCUUGAUAUCUCAUUGUCAUCUGUGCCGAACCACCUCUGGGGUUUCAGAUUUUGAUGGUCUUCUGUACAAAAAUUACUUUACUGGGAUUCAUAUUUGAGCAACACUAUAUGGGAUAUAAUUUGAGAUUGCCUGAAAGAUUUCCUUUUUUAGAUUCUAUUAUUUUACGAUCUUCCAGUAAUAUCUGAAGUUGUAUACAACAAAUUUUAUAAGCUUUAAAAACAUGAAUUUUGCUUACUCAGGAACACUAACUUUUUUUUCUUCUUUGAUUGUUCA